GUCAGCAUCAGGCAUUGUCAUCGUUGACACGGUGGCCACCUGGGUCCCUGGAGGAAGGUAGCAACAUCCUACUCAUCUCCAUACUCUCGCCCUGGCAGGUCUCUGGCACCUGGUAGGUGCCUCAUGAAUGUCUCCGAUGUUUGAUGAGUGGUUGGUAAAGGUCAGUACACCUCCUAGACCGUGGGGCUGGUGAAAUGCUCCCGUUGCACGAAGCGUUUCCCUCUAACUUGCCGGUUUGCUGGAUAAAGUUCAACGGACGCCACAGAAUAUGGAGCAUCAUCUACAAAUUCAGAGGCAGCCCUCUUCUCCGCCUUCAGCCUUGACAUUCAAGGACAGACACAGGGCUCCUGGAAGGAGACGCAGAGGCAAGGCUUCUGGGGGUGAGGGUGUUGUUCCCUCGCUCUCACAAAGGGCACUUCCUUAUCAGAGAAAGGAUGUGGAUGCCUGUGGACCCCCAGAGCGCGCCCGAGGUCAGAGGAGAGAGGGGCCUUCAUGUUAUGAUCGAGAGCACAGAACAAUACAACAGACCCUGUGUGAAGGGAGCUCCCUUCCCUCGUGAGGAGAAUGCAGAAAAGGACACCAACACCUGCUCAGAGAGAAAAAUGAGACUGGCGUCAGGAAUAGGAAAGACCAGAAAGGUGUGAGGGUAGAGACAGCGCCUGACAACUCCAUGGAAGGAGCAGAGGACUCGAGGAGCUCAUUCCUGACCCUCCUAUAAUCCAGAAGCAGCCACCCCAUGAUAUUUUGAGAGUUCCUGGGUUUGUUUAAGAAGUAUAAACAGUUUUUAAAAGAGAACAGUGUAUACUUCUUCUAUUAUUUGCAAAUUGCCUUGGAGAAAGACCGCUGCCCACCUCUGUUUGUGAAACUGAAAGGAUAGCGUAAGCGAGAGGAGGAGCCAGCGUGCAGGGAAGAGAAGUGACGCGAGCGGCCUCCCCUCCAGGAGCUCCAUCAGCAGCCAGUCCUCCCUCAUUUUCAAGUGGGGGUCACUGAGUGAAAGAACACAGUGACCCGGGCCACAGGGGCCCUCCUCCUCCUCCUCCAUCACUUCUCCCAGCCCCUUGCUCGGGUCCCUGUGAGCCCACAGGAGGCGGCCAGCCCACAGCGCCACAGUCCCUCCUGGUCUGCCCUCCCACUUCCCUGCGCUCCUCGUCCAGCCUGGAUACCAAUGUCCAUGCCCAGACACCCCAGACCCUGUGCCCCUCUCCUCCUGAAACAGUCCCAUCCCUGGAUGACCCCACACACGUCCUUGGCUGGCCGCAGCCGUCACUUCAUUUGCCUACUUUUUCGUCAUCUACCAUUAAUUCAUCUUCAAACUCUCCACAAGAAAUGCUCAUCUCCUCACGCCAAGUUCAAAAACACGAGGUAACCCAUCUGUUUCCUUCUUGGAGACAUCCGUCCUGGGCCUUGCUAUCCUCCUGCUUCAAUCUGGACCAAUGACUUUUCUAGACCUACUGCCCAGCUAGACACUUGUCAAUUUUAUUGGUCCUUUCCAAAACCAACAUUUUACUUUGUUGAUAAUAUUGAAUUUUUUGUUUUCUGUCUCUUUACUUUCAGCUCUUUACUUUUCCUUCCUUCUGCUUUCCUUGAAUUUAUCCUGUUGUUAUCCUAAGCUCAUUAAUGUUCAGCCUUUUACUGUUGUUCUAAUAUAAGCAUUUAAGGUUAAAAAUGUCCUUUUGAUGGUAUCCUAUAAGCUUCGAUUUGCAGUGUUUAUUUGUAGGAUUUUUAUUAUCAUUCAGUUUAAAUUUUUUCUAAUUUGUUUUCUGAUUUCUUUUUGACUCAUGAAUUAUGUAGAAGUAUAUUUCCUGUUUCCCAAAUGCACGGGGGUUCUCUCUGUUUUUGUUAUUGAUUUCAACUUAAUUGCAUUAUGGUCAGAGAAUGUGGUCGAUAUGAGAAUUCUUAGAAAUUUGUUCAGACUUGCUUUAUGACCCACUACAUGGUCACUUUUCAUAAAUGGCUUAUACAUGCUUGAAAAGAAUAUGUAUUUCUUUUCAUUUGUUGAGAGCAAUGUCCCAUAGGUUGGCAUUAAAGAAGUUUGUUAAUUCUGCUGUUCAAAUCUUUCCUGUCCUUACUUUUAAAAACUAUUUCACCUAUCAGUUAUUGAAAGGUAUUAAAGUGUCCUGCAUGAUUUCUAUUUCUGCUUUGUAGUUCUCUCAAGUUUUGCUGAAUAUAUUUUGCAUGAAUAGAAUGUUGUUGGUUGCAUAAAAGUUUAGAAUUGUGAUAUGUUCCUGGUGAAUUAAACCUUUUAUAAUUUUUUAGAGACUGUCUAUCCAUAGUAAUGGUUUUGCUUUAAAACCUAUUUUGUGGGGCC
ensembl:lncRNA